rnacentral:rRNA from 1 species
CGUGCAGGUGGCUCUGUAAGUUGGAUGUGAAAUUUCCCGGCUUAACCGGGAAGGGUCAUUCAAUACUGUGGGGCUUGAGGGCAGAAGAGGGGGGUGGAAUUGCCGGUGUAGUGGUGAAAUGCGUAGAUAUCGGCAGGAACACCUGUGGCGAAAGCGGCCCCCUGGUCUGCUCCUGACACUCAGACGCGAAAGCUAGGGGAGCGAACGGGAUUAGAAACCCCGGUAGUCCUAGCCGCAAACGAUGGAUGCUAGGUGUAGGUGGUAUUGACCCCAUCUGUGCCGAAGCUAACGCGUUAAGCAUCCCGCCUGGGGACUACGGCCGCAAGGUUAAA